GAUGAACGCUGGCGGCGCGCCUAACACAUGCAAGUCGAACGGUUAAAGCACUUUCGGGUGUGUAUAGAGUGGCGAACGGCUGAGUAACACGUGGGCAACCUGCCCUUUGCAUCGGGACAGCCUCGGGAAACCGUGGUUAAUACCGGAUACUCCAUCUUUCUCACAUGAAAAAGAUGGGAAAGUGUUUAGCGGCAAGGGAUGGGCCCGCGCCCUGUUAGCUUGUUGGUGGGGUAAAAGCCUACCAAGGCAAUGAUGGGUAGCCGGGUUGAGAGACCGACCGGCCAGAUUGGGACUGAGACACGGCCCAGACUCCUACGGGAGGCAGCAGUGGGGAAUCUUGCACAAUGGGCGAAAGCCUGAUGCAGCGACGCCGCGUGCGGGAUGGAGGCCUUCGGGUUGUAAACCGCUUUCAGCAGGGACGAGGCGAAAGUGACGGACCUGCAGAAGAAGCCCCG
rnacentral:rRNA from 1 species